UAGCAGCCUGGCCACGCCCCACUUCGGCCCGUCGCCAGGAAUGCUGGGGCAAAGGCGGAAGCUAGAGGGGCCGCCUCUUCCCGCCUUGUAGGGUUUGCCGCCUGCCUGUGGCGGAGAGGCCAGGAGCCUGAGUUGGCGUUGGUGACAAGCGUGGGGGUGGCAGCCACGCUGGUGGUUGUGCGGCCUUGUUGGGGGGCUGUUGGCGCCUAACGGCCAGGCCCCCAGCCGGAGCGAGGCGGGGAACCAAUAGUGAGGUCCCAGACAGCGGCCAUGGUUACAAGACCAGGGCAUGGAGGGGGUGGGGGUGCGUAGCCGGGGUCCCCUCACGUCCACGCCCGCUGUGGCAGCCCCGCGUGGAGGCGCAGGCACUGCGGGGCUGGCGUCCGAGGGCCUAGGGAGCCCCGGAUUCCCAGUCUCCACUGUCAGCUGCAGGCGCAGGUGCAGGGAGUUUGCCUGGAGCACCUACAGUCCUGGGUGGCUGCAGGGGCAUGGCGCUGGUUACCUUGGUUCCUGGGGAGGAAGGGGCUGGGCUGGACAACCAGGAGUUUGCGGGUCAGGUUCAUGGUCCCGGCGGGCCAUAUGCCAGCUCUUUCCUAGUCCGUGUAGGGGAGAAGCGGUAGCAGGGGCUGCCCUGAGGGGCCAGGAGAAAUGUAGCUUUCUGCCCGUUUCUGGCAGCCACAUGGUGAGUAAUUGGCUGUAGGUACAAGGGUUAACUCUCGGAUCUCUGGUCUUUUCUCUGCAUGUCUCGUGCUGGUACCUUGCAGUGUGGUUCUGCUAGCUCCGAAGUAUGUCUCAGAAUGUGUUGGGAUGCCCCAAGCUUUGCUUCAUUCAAGAUCCCUUUACUGGUAGAGCUACAGACAGUGAGUGAGAGAGAGAAAGGUCCUCCCUUCGUUGGUUCACUCUCCAGAUGGACACAACAGCCAGAGCUGUGCCGAUCCGAAACCAGCUUCCUCCAGGUCUCCCAUGAGGGUGCAGGGUGCCAAGCACUUGGGCUAUCCUCCACUGCCUUCCCAGCCACAGCAGAGAGCUGGAGUGGAAGAGGAGUAACCAGUAGAACCAGUGCCCACAUGGGAUGCUGGCACUGCAGGCAGAGGACCAGCCCAGUGAGCCACAGCGCCAGCCCUUUCUGCCAUUUUUCUAGAUCUUUCAGCUGCACGUCAAAUCUUGGGCUGAUCACUCCACCUGUUUAACCUGCCCAUGAGGUUCACAACAGUUUUCCCAGCUCUGUGGGUCAUCAGUGAUUUCAGAUUCGCUAAUGUAACCACGCUUCCUAACAUCACAGUUAGAAACCUGACAGUGACUUUGGAGCACAGCCUGUGAAGAACCGGGCACUUUUCUCUUUUCCUCGGCAUUGUUGAUGCUCUUGAGAGCAUCGGCCAGGACGGUCAUGCGUCCCGUCGUGGUGGCACGGAAAGAUGGCAGAAAGAGCAUCAGGCAGAGUGGACAGUGAGAGAGAGAGACAGAGAGAAAGGUUUUCCUUUGCCGUUGGUUCACCCUCCAAUGGCCGCCGCGGCCAGCAUACCAAACUGAUCUGAUGGCAGGAGCCAGGUACUUCUCCUGAUCUCCCAUGGGGUGCAGGGCCCAAGGACUUGGGCCUCCUUCACUGCACUCCCGGGCCACAGCAGAGAGCUGGACUGGAAGAGGGGCAGCCGGGACAGAAUCCGGCGCCCCGACCGGGACUAGAACCCGGUGUGCCAGCGCCGCAAGGCGGAGUAUUAGCCUAGUGAGCCGCGGCGCCGGCCCAUCAGGUAAAUUUUCUAAUCGGGGUGUCUGUUCCCACUAGGAGUCCUACAGGGCUUGACUGAUAUCCCCUGACGCUCAGGUCACCCUGAGGACAGCCAAGAUUUUAGCAGCACUGAGUCUUCCAGCCCAGGAACAACGCGCACCUUGCUGUGUAUCUGUGCCUGGGGCCUUGCAUGCUCCCUCUAGCUUCUCCUCCUCCUCCUCCUUCUCAUUUUACAACCAUUUAAAACAUUUUAAGAAACUGAACCCACAGAUCACACAGAAAGAGGCUGCAGGCCGUUGGAGGACAGUACAGAAGCAUCGUUCAUUUUGUGUGCUGACCAUGGAGCAUUCCUGCUGGAGCAUAAAUCAUCGUUUCUUCAAUCACAGGACCUAUGAGGCCCCUGGUGAUGGCUCCAGGAUCUGGUCCCUUUCAGCCACCAGGGAGAUCAGGAUUGAUUGAGCUCCCUCCUCUUGCUUCAGCCUUGCCUAAUCCUGCCUGCUGCAGAUUUUUGAGAACAAAACUGUGGUGGAAUGAGAAGGCCACGCCAAGAAGGCCGCUGGCAAGCGAGUGUCAGUUACUCAGGAAAUGGCUUCAGAACCCACCUGGCAAAGGAGCCUGCCUGGCAACAGGCUGUGAUUGGUUAGGGCAUAGACCACCCCUUUACCAAAUUGGCUGCCUUGGCUAUAUAAGCUGCUGUACCAACUGAAAUAAACGAGUCUGCGGGCUGCUCACCUCUGGCCCGCUUUCACUCGA